UACGGGGGGGGCAAGCGUUGUUCGGAAUUACUGGGCGUAAAGGGCUCGUAGGCGGCCAACUAAGUCAGACGUGAAACCCCCAGGCUCAACCUGGGAACUGCGUCUGAUACUGGAUGGCUUGAAUCCGGGAGAGGGAUGCAGAAUUCCAGGUGUAGCGGUGAAAUGCGUAGAUAUCUGGAGGAAUACCGGUGGCGAAGGCGGCAUCCUGGACCGGCAUUGACGCUGAGGAGCGAAAGCCAGGGGAGCAAACGGG
rnacentral:rRNA from 1 species